rnacentral:rRNA from 1 species
AUUGAACGCUGGCGGCAUGCUUUACACAUGCAAGUCGAACGGCAGCACGGGAGCUUGCUCCUGGUGGCGAGUGGCGAACGGGUGAGUAAUGCAUCGGAACGUAUCCAGUAGUGGGGGAUAGCCCGGCGAAAGCCGGAUUAAUACCGCAUAUUUCCUGAGGGAGAAAGCGGGGGGACCUUCGGGCCUCGCGCUACUGGAGCGGCUGAUGUCGGAUUAGCUAGUUGGUGAGGUAAAGGCUCACCAAGGCGACGAUACCGUAGCUGGUCUGAGAGGAUGAUCAGCCACACUGGGACUGAGACACGGCCCAGACUCCUACGGGAGGCAGCAGUGGGGAAUUUUGGACAAUGGGCGCAAGCCUGAUCCAGCCAUGCCGCGUGAGUGAAGAAGGCC